rnacentral:lncRNA from 1 species
UAUUUAAGUUACUUGAGAGGAGUUCAACUUGCUGAAGGUCCUUAUUUAUGCAGGGUAUUUUUUGUCUUUACAAGGUACUUGAUGACAUAUAAUAUGAGCAGAAGAAACUUUUUCUAAGAAUUAAAUUUAAACGGUUUGUAUUUUUAGAGUUAUAAAACAUUUGAAAUGUAUUUAUUGUCCCUUUUAGAAAAAGUGGAGAAACUUUGAAAAACUGUUUUUUAGAAUUAUUUUAUGGGAAAUGUUAACAAGUGUUUUCGGGGUACUCUUUAAGCACUUUAUAUAGUAAAUUUUAAAUGAAAAGUUGUGUAUUGAAUGCGUUGGAAAUUGUAAUAGUUGACUUUUUAAAAGAAUAAUUACUAAAUUUGGAAUGCUUACAAAGUGCCCCGGACACUCGUUAACAAAACCUUUAUUUUAUUUAUAGAAUAAUUUUUUAAAGAAAAAAGAAAAGAUUAUCACACAAGUCAUUUCAAUUUCUUAAAGACUAUUCUGCAAUUGUAACUUAUGUUAAGGGAUUUUUCUGUUAAAGCAGUAGCUCUUCAAAUCAGAGAAAAGGAAGAGGGAUGAUUCAUAAAAUUGCACUAUUCUUUAUUUCAUUAAGAUCACUAUUCAUAAAUUUUGCAACAGUAGUAAUUAAUUGAGUUGGUUAGUUACAGCUAACUCCAACACUAACUAAUACAUUUAAAUUACUUUUUAACACUUCCCUUCAAUUCAAAUGUAGUCUCAAUGUGUUUGCUCUUUCCAUGAGACACAUCAAGAUCAAGUAAGGUUCAAUAACCCUGAGAAAUGAAAAAUGAGGAUCUUUGAAAUUAUCUGUUAUGUCUUUUUAGUAUUGUUGAUUGAUUGUUAUGGAUCUAUACAACCUUUAUUAAUUUUUCUUUGGUUGAAUAGGUGAUUAGGUCACUAAUUUAACUUGAUAUUUGUUUCCAAACUGUAGUUGAGAUUUUGUUGAGGCUUGCCCUGGCUAGACUAGAAUUCUCUGCACCGGUUACGGUUACCAUCCAAAUUGGGUCGUGACAAAGUUGAUUGUUUAUAAGCUUGGGUCAAGAAUUUUGGAGGGAAGGAGGGAAUAACUUAUUUUAUUUUUAAAAUUAAGAAAAUCAUAAAAUACUUUUGAAAAAGCUUUGUAGAAUAGGCUACCAAUAUCAUAUACAGAUUCGGUUAAUUAAUUAGAAGCCAUCAUAUCAUAUCAUAUCAUAUAUUAAUAAAACUUCUGAAGAUAUAUAUUAAUUGGAACCGUGCAACAAAGCACUUAUUCUAAUUAUAAUUAUUAUAUGUGACAAUAUAAUUAUUUACAUACGUAAAUCACCAAAGUUGAUAGCUCCAUUAGCAUUGCCUUCAGUGAAGCCAGUUUGAUUACUUAGACCUUUUAUAUUUUGUUUGCCAGUGUUGUUAUAUUUUGCUUUGUUGGAGCGAUUUCUUCCAGGCAAGGGUGUUGAAGGAGAACCAUUUUGAGUUUCACUUUCACCAUCAUCCAUGCUAUUUAGCACACCAACAAGACCCUUGAGAGCAUCCAGUUUUUGUUGAAGAUCAGCCAUGGAAUGUGACUCUGCUAAUAAUUUAUGUAUUUGAUCUGACUAGAAUUGAUUAAUUUGUGAGCAUACCAGAACUCUUCUUUUAUAGAUGGAGAUCAGGAAUAUAAUAGUGCUUGCUUGUACAUAGAUAAUAAGAAAGAACCAUUUGCCAGUGGAAUUAAAUAAAG